CAUUAAUUUUAUUGAAAUCGAUGAUGAUGGUGAUCAAGAAGAAUAGGAGGUUGUACCAUUGGUUAUACCCCCAUUGUGCAGUUUUGUUGGUGAUCCAAGCACCACUGUUGAUGUACAGCAAUUGUACACAGCAGUCAGCGUCAGAGAGAUGACCGUAUACAGGGUUGUAUGCGAGAUAAUUGGGCAAACCUUGAGCAACACCUCAUUCUACACUUUGGGCCC
rnacentral:sRNA from 1 species